CCUGGUUGAUCCUGCCAGUAGUCAUAUGCUUGUCUCAAAGAUUAAGCCAUGCAUGUCUAAGUACACACUUUGGUAAAGUGAAACCGCGAAUGGCUCAUUAAAUCAGCUACAAUUUAUUAGAUCGUACACUGUUACUUGGAUAACUGUGGGAAUUCUAGAGCUAAUACAUGCCGAGAGUCUCUGCUCUUCGGGGCAGAGCGCAGUUAUUAGACCAAAACCAGCCGUAUUCUUCGGGGUACGCUCUUUUGGUGACUCUGGAUAACCUUCAGCCGAUCGCAUGGCCUCGUGCCGGCGACGUAUCUUUCAAGUGUCUGCCCUAUCAACUUUCGAUGGUACGUGAUAUGCCUACCAUGGUGAUAACGGGUAACGGGGAAUCAGGGUUCGAUUCCGGAGAGGGAGCCUGAGAAAUGGCUACCACAUCCAAGGAUGGCAGCAGGCGCGCAAAUUACCCACUCCCAGCUUGGGGAGGUAGUGACGAAAAAUAACAAUGCGGGACUCUAAGAGGCCCCGUAAUUGGAAUGAGUACACCUUAAAUCGUUUAACGAGUAUCAAUUGGAGGGCAAGUCUGGUGCCAGCAGCCGCGGUAAUUCCAGCUCCAAUAGCGUAUAUUAAAGUUGCUGCAGUUAAAAAGCUCGUAGUUGGAUCUGGGGCUUGAGGUCGCUGUCUAUCGUUUCGGCGAUGACGGUGAUGCUCAGCUCUGCUUGCCGGUGACUGUUGCGGUGUUCUUCACUGAGCGCUGUAGCAGCACGGCACGUUUACUUUGAAAAAAUUAGAGUGCUCAAAGCGUGCUUGUCGCUUGAAUAAUGUUGCAUGGAAUAAUGGAAUAGGACCUCGGUUCUAUUUUGUUGGUUUUCGGAGCUUGAGGUAAUGAUUAAGAGGGACGAACGGGGGCAUUCGUAUUGCGGUGUUAGGGGUGAAAUUCUUGGAUCGCCGCAAGACGGACUACUGCGAAAGCAUUUGCCAAGAACGCUUUCAUUAAUUAAGAACGAAAGUCAGAGGUUCGAAGACGAUCAGACACCGUCCUAGUUCUGACCAUAAACGAUGCCGACCAGCGAUCCGUAGUGGUUGCUUUAUGGACCCUACGGGCAGCCUCCGGGAAACCAAAGUAUUUGGGUUCCGGGGGAAGUAUGGUUGCAAAGCUGAAACUUAAAGGAAUUGACGGAAGGGCACACCAGGAGUGGAGCCUGCGGCUUAAUUUGACCCAACUCGGGAAAACUCACCCGGUCCGGACACCGUAAGGAUUGACAGACUGAUAGCUCUUUCUUGAUUCGGUGGAUGGUGGUGCAUGGCCGUUCUUAGUUGGUGGAGUGAUUUGUCUGGUUAAUUCCGAUAACGAACGAGACUCUAGCCUGCUAAGUAGUGUUGCUAUUGAU
rnacentral:rRNA from 1 species